GACAGAGGGUGCAAACGUUGUUCGGAAUUACUGGGCGUAAAGCGUGUGUAGGCGGUCCGCUAAGUCGGGUGUGAAAGCCCUGGGCUCAACCCAGGAAGUGCACUCGAAACUGGCGGGCUAGAGUAUCGGAGAGGUUGGUGGAAUUCUCGGUGUAGUGGUGAAAUGCGUAGAGAUCGGGAGGAACACCCGUGGCGAAGGCGGCCAACUGGGCCGGACCUGACGCUGAGGCGCGAAGGCGUGGGGAGCGAACGGG
rnacentral:rRNA from 1 species